CUGACCAGACGAAACCAGCAGACAAUGCUGAAUAAAGUCGUAGUUUUUGCUAUUUUUGGACCAAAAUGUAUUUUCGAUGCUUCAAAAAAUUCUAACGGACCCUCUGAUGUCACAUGGACUACUUUGAUGAUGUUUUUAUUACCUUUCUGGACAUGGACAGUAUACCGUACAUACAUUUUCAAUGGAGGGACAGAAAGCUCUCGGACUAAAUCUAAAAUAUCUUAAACUGUGUUCCGAAGAUGAACUGAGGUCUUAUGGGUUUGGAACGACAUGAGGCUGCGCUCCAUUCUUCAGGCUGCUCUCUUUAAGGCGCAAGUGUGCUCGUUAUACCAUGAUGUCUGACUGUUUUCCAUAAUCUUAUUUAAGCGUAAAGGAGCAACUGUAUCUUAAGUGCUAGAAAAGAGAGAGUUUAUAGUUUCUGAGUUUUUCUGAGCUGUUGGAUUUGCUGAGGAAUUGGGACAAGUCUGGAAGAUUAUUUACAAAGCAGUCUUUUGUGAAAGAAGUGAUGGUUAAAUUUGAAUUUGCAGCUUUAGCGAUAUGGAGUAUACUACACAAGACUAGAUAAUGAUCUAAGAUAUUAUCACUCUAUUGCAGAAUUUCAACACCAUUAAUAUCAAUUCCUUGUGACAGUAUUGAAUCUAAAGUAUGAUUACAACGAGUAGGCCCUGACACGUGUUGUUUUACCCCAGUGGAGUUAAGACUUUAUCUGCACCCCAACAAUUAAGACUUUAUCUGCACCCAGCAAUAACUGGGUUGAUAAAAAAAAAUAUUUGAUAAAGUUUGUAUGGUGUCCUGGUGGCCUGUAUACAGUAGCCAGUACAAACGUCACAGGGGAUUUAUCAUUAACACUUGUUUCUCUGGAUAAUGUUAUAUGAAGCACCAUUACAUCAAAUUAAUUAUACUUGAAACCAGACUUCUGAGAAAUACUGAAAAUAUUACUAUAAAUUGUGGCAACACCUCCCCCUUUACCUUUUGGUGCGGAUCAUGUUUAUAACAGUAAUCUUGGGGAUAGACUCAUUUCAAAUGUUAUCAUCUGGUAUUAGCCAGGUUUAUGUCAAACAGAGCAC
ensembl:lncRNA